rnacentral:rRNA from 1 species
UACGGGGGGGGGCAAGCGUUGUUCGGAAUUACUGGGCGUAAAGCGCGCGCAGGCGGCUAUCCAAGUCAGUGGUGAAAGCCCGGAGCUCAACUCCGGAACUGCCAUUGAAACUGUUUAGCUUGAGGACGAGAGAGGUGAGUGGAAUUCCCAGUGUAGAGGUGAAAUUCGUAGGUAUUCGCAAGAACACCAGUGGCGAAGGCGGCUCACUGGCCCGAUACUGACGCUGAGGCACGAAAGCGUGGGGAGCAAACAGG